rnacentral:lncRNA from 1 species
ACGAUGGAGUUGAUACCUCGAGGUAUAGACUUCCAAGACUUCCAGGAAAACCAAAAUUAUAUAACUUGUGCUCUAAAAUGCAAUUUUUGAUAUCUGGCUUCUAGUUACAUGAGAACCGUUAUUAAAGCAGACGGCUGGGGGUCACUGUAAGUUCUUUACUCAGUUGGUUGGAAAACAUCAUGUUAUCAGCAUUUCUGACCUUUUUUCCUUUUAACAGUCAGACCUCACAUGACCCAUAACAACAUUAAAACAUUAAAUGCACUUAAGAGUAUAACAGUUUUAAUGACAAGGUUUUUAAGUGACAAAUGAAAGUGUUUAGAAUAGUUUGUAGUUGGCUUCUGGGAUCAUUACAUUUAGCCUACUCCUUAUUUUUACAAUUAAAGUUAUCCCAAAAUCCUUAAAAAAGUUCUGCCCAACAUACACUAUAGAUUUUAGCAGGGGAUAAACCCAAACAGGAUUAGAUGUUCUGGUCACACUUCAUACUAUUGUGUCUCUUUUAAACUUUUUUUUCUAUGAUUUGGUUUGACAGUUAAAACACUGGCCCUGAGGCAUCCUGUUGGCAUGUUUAUAGUAUAUUUUUUAUAUGAUAUACACUAGAAACCAGAGCCCAUGAGUACUUCUGUCUCUUUCUAGACACUGGUAUGCUCUCACACAAAACUGUGUUUCCUUCGAGGAGUCUGUAGUUAAAUCUCUUUUGUGCAGGAUUAAGAAGUGCAGCUUCAGUUAAGUCACAGCCUGCAGCUGUGUUGGGGCUGAGCUGUGGUAUCGGAGGCCAACUGGAGGCCUCUGUCUGCGUGUGUUAUUAUGACUAACUUCCUAUAACCCGACCUCUCCAUGAGUCAAGAGCCACCUCAUAGAGAGAGGAAUGCAGCGACAGGUUCCAUGGAAAAAGGAAGAGAAGAACCUGUUGUUUUAAUGACCGUCUGGAUGGCUGUUUUGCUUACCGGCAGACAGUGUGGGUGGCAGGUUGGAUCGCAGGCAGACUGGCUAUAGUAUGAUAUAGUUUACUUCCAAGGUCAUAUUCUCUAAGCUGCUUGGCUUUUUGGCUGACUUGUCUUUAACGUUAAACUUAAAUCUGGAUAUCAUAAAGUUUUGUUUGUUAUGCACAAGUCUUACUUAUAUUUCAGUUGAUUUAAGCACCUCAUACCCUGUAUUCCUUUGAUUUAUGUAACAUAUAAAAUUUGGAGUUUAUGUUGAGAGCAAGGUUUCAUUUUAGUUUUGUCUGGCAACCUCCUCCUGCCUUUAAAGGAAGUACCCUGUCAAAUUCUGGCCUUCUUAACCCAAGCUGUGAGCGAGUGAGAGGAGCCCGCUGAAACAUCUGUGGUUUUGGCUGGGAAUGAAUGACUUCAGCUAGACUGGGAUUAAAGAUCCUGAAAGUUAGCCCUGGGAUGGGGAAGGUGGAGAAUCUGGUUGGGGCUGCGGGGGUUGUGAGCUGGAAACCGAGGCUGGGGUGAGGUAGGGGUAAAUGUCUGGGGUGAGGAAAUGGUGGAAAGCUGGAGUACUACAGUUGAAAGUUCAAGAUCAGGUGAGUCCAGAAGUGAAGGAGUUGAGGUUAAGGGUGGUUGUGGAAACUAAAGUGAAGUAGAACCUCCAACAAAAGAAAAGUUCUGAUUGAACAAAUAAAAAUCUUCUAGGUGAAUUAGGUUUUUCUGGCCCAGGUAAGAAAUGCAACUCUAAAGUAAUUUUAAUCACUUCAAACACCCAAUACAGUGAAUUACUUUAUUACUAAAUCAAUAUUUCAAUCCUGUUGGGUUUGGUGCGAGGGAGACUAUGAAUUAGGCGGGUAAUGGGGCAGAGAAAAAAAGAAACAUGGGAUUUCGUGAUGUGGAGCCUGCGGUUUGGGGUCAAAGAAUUGAGGUUUGUAAAAGAGGAGCUUUGCUACAUUUUUUGCCUCUUUCUUUGAGACCAAAGUGGAAGUUUGAUGAAUGCUUUGGCUAAGGCUGAACGAAUAAAUGGCUGCAGUGAUGUUGAUGGAUUACAAAUAGAUUGGAAUACGAAGGAAUUUGGACUGAGCUGCAACACGUGAGAGUGGAGUUAGCUUGCAGCUGGAGGUCCGUCUUGGGGGUUGAGGGAGUGUUGGUAUGAGGGUCAUUUAAUGUUAUUUUGGCCCUUCCUGCUCUCUGUAAUGGAUGGACGCAACAGAUUUUUUUUCUGUCGGUCUCUGUUACAGACACAGGCACUUUGACGUCUUUUCAUGCUUAGCCAGUUACACAUUUGGGAAGACGGUAUUGUGAAUGUUAUGGAGCACGACAUGACUCAGCCACAGGAAUCCUCAGAGAACCCACAGUGGUUGGCUGGACUGUAUAGAGUGAGGGACAAAAGGGAGGCAGCGGAAGUGUGCAUGUGUGAGAGAGGGUUAUGAAAGCCAAGAAGAAAGAGAAUGGGAGUCAUGGGAAUGUGUCAUUGAAAGUUGUAAUUGAUGUUUCUGGGGAUUAAUGAUCUUGACAUUUUUGCAGCUUCCCACAAGCCAUCCAUUAAAGUAAGUAUCCCUUAUUACUCACUGACGAACAGAAAUAAAUUACAGAUCUCAGACAAUAGAUAACUCGAGCUUAAUGUUGAUGGACGUUCUGUCAGAUCUGUCUCAUGUUGAUUGAAGCAGUGAUGAAACCUUUAUUUUAGCGAAAGCAUGUGGCAUGUGGUGUUUGAGGGAAAACUUAAACUCUGCAGUUGGAACAAAGAAGUCUGUCUGCAGUUGUUUUGAGGUAAAGGCUGAUUGCCAAGAGAAACAUUAGCAUUAAUGAAUAUUUCAUUACCAUUAUUCAUCCACAGCCAAAUUCCACAAAUGCAACAGCUGAAAAUCGUCAAAGCCUGAGAUUUGAGAUGUUUCUUUUUUGUUAUUAUGGUGACUGCUGUUUAAAUUUUCAUACAGAUUUUCAUGUGUUUUAUAUCAAUGAACUUGAGGUCUAAAUUAUCUGCUUUUAUUGCCCGCUUCCUCACUGAUCACCCUUUGCUAAAUAUGUGAUUCCUCACUUUACAUUUUAUCCCAAAGCCCUUGAAAGAGCUUGUCUUUUCUGAAAAAUCAACAACAGGUACAGGCAAGUUACAAAUCAGAUGAAAUGAUUUCUGGUUCUUUUUACUUUUGCUUAUUACAAUGAAGCAGAGAAAAAAAAGAACAUUAGUUUCUGUUUUCAGAGAAAGAGGAGAGAUGUCCCGUUCACUUUUUUCAACUCUACAUUUGGAGUUAAUGUUAAAUUUAGUUUGAAAUAUAACAAAUGGACAGACUGCUGUUUGACUGCAACUUGGUGGUUGGUUGGUUGAUUGUCAUUUGACCCGUGAGGAGGGAGAUAUAAAUCCAUCGCCAUUAUAAACGUUACCAAGUGUGGAAUUAGAGGAACAAAUUUGAUUUAAUUAAUUCAGUAAAUAAAUGAUUGUUAAUUUCUGAUUUGAAAUGUGCGUUAACUUGUUUAUAUUGCGGGUUGGAAGCUAGUAGAUGGGCUGUAAUUCUUCUGGUCCAUAUAAUUAGCUUCUUUGUGUACCGUAUUUUUUGCACUAUAAGGCGCACUUCAAAAUCCUUUUGGCUUGUUGGAGAACUGCAGCUACCGUGGCCUUGCGAAGUUAUUGAAUGAGUUGAAUAAAGUUUGACUUAUCUGACUGUUUUGUUUGGCUUAAUGUGCUUUAUUAUCUGGUGCGCCUUAUAUAUGAAAAUAGACGCGACUAGACGCGUUCAUUGAUGGUGCACCUUAUAAUCAGGUGCGGCUUAUAGCGUGAAAAAUACGGUAAAUUAUCCCUUACUUGGUGUUGUUGAUCAGUUACAAUUAGAAUCAAAGAUUAAAUACAGACAGCAUUGUUAGAGAUGUUUUUCUUUUGCAGCCCAUGAUGUUUAAAUAGCCAAAAUAAAGUAUCAAGCAUUAUUUUGUAAUGAAACACUGUUGUGUUGUGGGAAAUGUGGGAUUCAUAUUGUGGUACCCCAGCAUCUCCGCCACUGUCAUAAUCCAAACCUCAUUUCUGGCCAUAUCUUGCUGUGUCUGAGGCCACCUAACAGCAAUAGCAAAACUAAUCUGAGAAUGGUAUAUUAAGUAUUAAACAUCCAACUUGUCACACUCCUCU